UUGGAGGGCAAGUCUGGUGCCAGCAGCCGCGGUAAUUCCAGCCCCAAUAGCGUAUAUUAAAGUUGUUGCAGUUAAAAAGCUCGUAGUUGAAUUUCGGGAUUCAUCCGUUGGUCGGGCCUCACGGUCCGUACUGGUGUGAUGGGUUCCUACCUUCUGAAUAACCGGCAUGCCAUUAAUUUGGUGCGCCGGGGAAGCAGAACUAUUACCUUGAAAAAAUUAGAGUGCUUAAAGCAGGCAAGUGCCUGAAUAGGUUAGCAUGGAAUAAUAAAAUAGGACGGCAUGGUUCUAUUUUGUUGGUUUCUAGGAUCACCGUAAUGAUUAAUAGGGAUAGUUGGGGGCAUUAGUAUUCAAUUGUCAGAGGUGAAAUUCUUGGAUUUAUUGAAGACUAACUUCUGCGAAAGCAUUUGCCAAGGAUGUUUUCAUUAAUCAAGAACGAAAGUUAGGGGAUCGAAGACGAUCAGAUACCGUCGUAGUCUUAACCAUAAACUAUGCCGACUAGGGAUCGGACGAUGUUAAUUUUUUAAUGACUCGUUCGGCGCCUUACGGGAAAC
rnacentral:rRNA from 1 species